rnacentral:rRNA from 1 species
CCUACGGGAGGCAGCAGUGGGGGAUAUUGCACAAUGGGGGAAACCCUGAUGCAGCGACGCCGCGUGUGGGAAGACGGUACACUGGAUUGUAAACCACUGUCCCCAGGGACGAAGAUGACGGUACCUGGGGAGGAAGCUCCGGCUAACUACGUGCAAGCAGCCGCGGUAAUACGGAGGGAGCGAGGGUUGUCCGGAAUUACUGGGUGUAAAGGGAGCGUAGGCGGGGAUGCAAGUGGGGUGUCAAAACUACCGGCUCAACUGGUAGUCGCACUCAAACUGCAGCUCUUGAGUGAAGUAGAGGCAGGCGGAAUUCCUAGUGUAGCGGGGAAAUGCAUAGAUAUUAGGAGGAACACCAGUGGCGAAGGCGGCCUGCUGGGCUUUUACUGACGCUGAGGCUCGAAAGUGUGGGGAGCAAACAGGAUUAGAUACCCGUGUAGUC